rnacentral:rRNA from 1 species
UACGAAGGGGGCUAGCGUUGUUCGGAAUUACUGGGCGUAAAGCGUACGUAGGCGGAUUGUUAAGUGAGGGGUGAAAUCCCGAGGCUCAGCCUCGGAACUGCCUUUCAUACUGGCAAUCUUGAGUCCGGGAGAGGUGAGUGGAACUCCUAGUGUAGAGGUGAAAUUCGUAGAUAUUAGGAAGAACACCAGUGGCGAAGGCGGCUCACUGGCCCGGAACUGACGCUGAGGUACGAAAGCGUGGGGAGCAAACAGG